GACAGAGGUGCCAAGCGUUGUCCGGAAUCAUUGGGCGUAAAGCGCGUGUAGGCGGCCAGAAAAGUCCGCUGUGAAAACUCGAGGCUCAACCUCGAGCUGUCGGUGGAAACUUUCUGGCUAGAGUCCGGAAGAGGAGAAUGGAAUUCCUGGUGUAGCGGUGAAAUGCGCAGAUAUCAGGAAGAACACCCGUGGCGAAGGCGGUUCUCUGGGACGGUACUGACGCUGAGACGCGAAAGCGUGGGGAGCGAACAGG
rnacentral:rRNA from 1 species